rnacentral:rRNA from 1 species
AUUGAACGCUGGCGGCAGGCCUAAUACAUGCAAGUCGAGCGGAGCGGCGGACGGGAGCGUAAUGCCUAGGAAUCUGCCUGGUAGUGGGGGAUAACGUCCGGAAACGGGCGCUAAUACAGCAUACUAUCAGAUCAGCCUAGGUAGGAUUAGCUAGUGGGUGGGGUAAAGGCUUACCAAGGUGACGAUCCGUAACUGGUCUGAGAGGAGGAUCAGUCACACUGUAACUGAGACACGGUCCAGACCCCUACGGGAGGCAGCAUUGGGGAAUAUUGGACAAUGGGCGAAAGCCUGAUCCAGCCAUGCCGCGUGUGUUAAGAAGGUCUUCGGAUUGUAAAGCACUUUAAGUUGGGAGGCGUUACCAACAGAAUAAGCACCGGCUAACUUCGUGCCAGCAGCCGCGGUAAUAC